rnacentral:lncRNA from 1 species
UUGUUAUAAUUGAGUACAAGAAGCUGAGGAGCAGGUGAUACUAAUUAGUACCAUUCCAACAUGCAAUGUAUUAAUUUUAUUGUUUCUCCUAAUUUCCUUUUUGUAUUGACUUGUACCUAUCUUCACCUUUCUAUUCUCAAUUUAGGAUUCUUGUUAUGGGGAUGGGUCUUUGUAGAUGGUUUCUGAUGGAUGCUUUAUAUAUUUUUUUGAGAAUAUGUUCUGAUAGGAACUCCUUUUCUCUUGCUUUUACGUAGUAUUUUUUUCUUCUUUUUCAAAUACUUUUAUUAAUACAAUUAUCUUUGAUUGUUUCUUGACAUGCAUCUCGCUGCUCGCAAAUGUUUGGAGAUGAAAAUAAUGUUUUCUUCCUAUAUUGAUUGGUAUGUGACUUUUUUUUAUAAUAAAAAAUGUAUUAAAGAGAGUACUAGGGGUAUUCAACCUAAAUACAAGAGAGUCAACAAUAUUGGAUAAUACAAAUGCACUAUGCCGAAAGCCUCAAUCCUAAUGACUAAUGCGUUAUGGGCCAACCAUAAAGGCUGAAUGGUCGUUAUCUUUAAAAGCAUCCCAUCUCUACAUUGGUUUUUUGAUUAAAAAAGGUGCCUAAAAAUAUUGUAAUUCUCAAUUUAGUAUAUGUAAGUUUAAUGGUAUAAAUGUAUCUAAGAUCAUGCUGUUCGAUCACACAAUUACUCCAGAAAUUAUGCUACUCUUCAAAAAAAGAAACUCUUGGAUCAGCUAUAAGUUUGCUGGAUGGGAAUAAAUCUGCAAUACAAAGGUUCCAUUCUGUUAUCAACUUAAUGAUAUUCUCAGGUUCCUUUUAGCGGAAGUUAAACUUUUCAUUAAUUAGAAUGAAACAAAAAUUCCCUAAAGCUUGAGCAUGUGAAUUUGUAAAGAGAAGUUACUAAUUACCAAAUAAGAUGUGAAAAAAGUCCAACUUUACAUUAUACAACGUUGAUGCUUUUAAGUUACACUAAGUUUAAAAAUUGAUCAACUUCACAAGAGGCAAAGUUUAAGUACAAUAUUACAUAUCAGUUGGUAACCUCAGACCAGCUUUUAUAGGCUUAAAUGCAGCCAACACCACAGAAAUCUUACAUGCAAGAAAUCCCAUCAUUCCAAAUAUGAGAUCAUUUGGUGUUACUUGAAGGUCUCCUGAGCUAUACCUCACUACAAAUACAGCAAAGCCUACAGCCAAAGCCACACUUGCUAUUGGCUCCUUCAAUCCUCCGAAUAAUGCUCCUCCCUUGUUACCUGUGAUUAAUUCUGAAGCUGGCAAUGCAUCCACAGAUCUCUGCAACAACAGCAGAUACACGAAGCCACCAAUCCCACCGAUCAAGAAAGCAAACCCAGUGUUUCCCCCAGCUAAGAAGGAAGUAACUGAUGUACCAAAAAAUAUCAGCAUAACAUCAUAAAAUAGUAAUGAGAACUUCAAAUCUGCAUAUUCUCUCAUGCUCUCUUCAUUUGAGAUCUUUGGACUUGAGAACAAAGUACUGUUAUCGAGUCCUUUGUCGAAGAAGCUGACGGGAUCAAUCUGUUCCAGCUCACUCACAUGACUAUGCCUUAGUUCUAACAUGGAGAGAUCACUUCCUUCACCAAGCAACACAUUGUCGAUCAGAAAAUGAUACUGAUAACCAGUGUACUGUAAUUCCCCAUCUUCGGAUGGCUGCACUUCACAAUUAAUAACCAUUAAGGAAACAUGUCCUAUGCGCCACUGACCUGAUUUAGAUCAAUAAGAAGAGUGUUGUUAGGAAGCGAACUCAUAUGAUACGAAAUAUUAAUUUAGAAGUUUGACAAAGCAUAUAUGUUGGUUGUACAAUGCUUUUAAAAACUGGAAUUUUAGCCUAAGUCAGAAGAGAUAUAAAAGAUUAAAUCUGUUUUUGGAUCCUAAAUAAUUGUCUUUUGUUUUUUAUCCCUAAAAAUACCAAAAGUUAUGUGUUUUCAGUUAGGUAUAUUUUUUACUAUAUAAAAAGAGUGACCAAAAUCAGAGAUUUAUAUAGGGUCAAGGUGAUUGUUGAUAGGAGCUGUAGUCGUUUCCUCCUUACCGGUGGGGCAAGGUGAAUGUUGAUGGGAGCUGUCUGGGCAAGGACAGGUGUAUCAGGUUUGGUGGUUUAAUCAGGGAUACUAUGGGAACCUGGACAUAGGGCUUUUCUGGGUUUGCAGGUCACAUCAUGAUCCUCCAGGCUGAGUUGUUCGCUAUUUGGAGAUGAUUGACCUUGGUGCGGAACCUUGGCUUUUUUGGAAGGUGAAUUGUGAACCAGAUUCCUUACACGCGGUGACUCUUCUAAUGAAUAUGGAUGUGCAAUGUUUCCAUCUUUAUGCUGCUUUUUUUGGUGAUAUCAGGGAUCGGCACUCGGGGAAUUGGGAAGUUCAGAUUAUUCAUAUUCUUCGUGAAGCCAAUUUCAGUGCUGAUGCAUUGGUCAAAUGGGAAUCCAGUCACAACAAUGCUUUUAAUAUCUGGGAUUCUCCACCAGAUUUCGUGGAUCUUGCGAGACUUGCAGGCUCUCUGAGUGGUUCAUCUCUGUUAGUUUCUGUUUUCUUUCGUGUUUUUCUUCUUAACAUGUAACCAAAAUAUAGGGACUAAAGCAAACAAAAGCAUUAUCAGCAGAGACUAAAAGCAUAUUUAAAAUUUUAAACCAAAUAUAAAUGUACAAAUGCUUGCUAAUAAAGAAUGAAAUAGGGAUAUUUUCCUCAGUACUUCAAAAUAUCUUCUGGGAAGAUAAAUAUGUGUUGAUCAUUUGUACUUAAAAUUGUAGUGCUAGGUCAGAGAUGAUGUCUACCUAAUCUUAAUCACUUCAAAAUACAAAUAAACAAGAAUAACAUACCUGAUUCAAUACCAAUCCAAAGAGCAUCAACUCUUGCAAUUUUAGGACCCUCGAAGAUGAAUUCAUCAACAGAACCUCUUUGGAAAUGAAGCAUCUCAACAUGAGUUAUAUCCCCUGAUUCUGUAGAAUGAUCCAUCAUCGAACUCGCAGGUAUCCUCUGCAAUAUGGAAUUUCCAUUUUCAUCUGGUUGAGCUUUAUUCAUUGCCGCCUUCUUUCCUUUCAGAACUUACAAUAGUUAUUAAUAGUAUGUUUGUCUUAAUUAUAUUGUUUAAUCCCAGUUUGAGCCAGCUCCAAGGAGGGGAGAGCCGGACGUAACCCGGAGAACACCCGAUUACUUCCUAUGAUACAACUCUGGUUGAGUCGCUGUUCACCAGCAUCAACUACUGCCUUGCAUUUCGAAGUUGGGCUUUGUUGGAUGUGUUAAUUACUUGUUAUAAUUGAGUACAAGAAGCUGAGGAGCAGGUGAUACUAAUUAGUACCAUUCCAACAUGCAAUGUAUUAAUUUUAUUGUUUCUCCUAAUUUCCUUUUUGUAUUGACUUGUACCUAUCUUCACCUUUCUAUUCUCAAUUUAGGAUUCUUGUUAUGGGGAUGGGUCUUUGUAGAUGGUUUCUGAUGGAUGCUUUAUAUAUUUUUUUGAGAAUAUGUUCUGAUAGGAACUCCUUUUCUCUUGCUUUUACGUAGUAUUUUUUUCUUCUUUUUCAAAUACUUUUAUUAAUACAAUUAUCUUUGAUUGUUU